rnacentral:rRNA from 1 species
GUUCCUACGGGGGGCAGCAGUGAGGAAUAUUGGUCAAUGGGCGGGAGCCUGAACCAGCCAAGUCGCGUGAGGGAAGACGGUCCUACGGAUUGUAAACCUCUUUUGCCGGGGAGCAACGGGGUCCUUGCGAGGGCCCGACGAGAGUACCUGAAGAAAAAGCAUCGGCUAACUCCGUGCCAGCAGCCGCGGUAAUACGGAGGAUGCGAGCGUUAUCCGGAUUUAUUGGGUUUAAAGGGUGCGUAGGCGGAAUGCCAAGUCAGCGGUAAAAUCGCGGGGCUCAACCUCGCUCCGCCGUUGAAACUGGG